rnacentral:rRNA from 1 species
ACGAACCGUGCAAACGUUGUUCGGAAUCACUGGGCUUAAAGGGCGCGUAGGCGGGCAGGCAAGUCGAAGGUGAAAUCCCACGGCUCAACCGUGGAAGUGCCCCCGAUACUGCCUGUCUCGAGGGAGAUAGGGGCGUGCGGAACUUCCGGUGGAGCGGUGAAAUGCGUAGAUAUCGGAAGGAACACCGGUGGCGAAAGCGGCGCGCUGGAUCUCUUCUGACGCUGAUGCGCGAAAGCCAGGGGAGCAAACGGGA